GGGCUGUUUGGACCUGCAUUAUUAAAAGAUCUCAGUUUAUUUAAAGACUGUGAACCUGAAAGCAUUUCUGAUUGGACUUUUGAUGAAAACUGUUUAUUCUGUUGCUUGAGAAGAGAUAAAGUAAAGACAGUCCCUGGGUCUCCGACCCCAAUAUUCCCCUAGUGGCCCGUGAGAUCAUGCAGCGAAUGAUCCAACAAUUUGCUGCUGAAUAUACCUCAAAAAAUAGCUCUACUCAGGACCCCAGC
rnacentral:sRNA from 2 species